rnacentral:rRNA from 1 species
UACGGGAGGCAGCAGUGGGGAAUAUUGCACAAUGGGCGCAAGCCUGAUGCAGCCAUGCCGCGUGUAUGAAAAAGGCCUUCGGGUUGUAAAGUACUUUCAGUCGUGAGGAAGGUGUUAAGGUUAAUAACCUUAGCAAUUGACGUUAGCGACAGAAGAAGCACCGGCUAACUCCGUGCCAGCAGCCGCGGUAAUACGGAGGGUGCGAGCGUUAAUCGGAAUUACUGGGCGUAAAGGGCACGCAGGCGGUUAAUUAAGUUGGAUGUGAAUCCCCGGGCUUAACCUGGGAAUGGCAUUCAAGACUGGUUAGCUAGAGUCUUGUAGAGGGGGUAGAAUUCCAUGUGUAGCGGUGAAAUGCGUAGAGAUGUGGAGGAAUACCGGUGGCGAAGGCGGCCCCUGGACAAAGACUGACGCUCAUGUGCGAAGCGU